rnacentral:rRNA from 1 species
GUGCAGGAUGACGGUCCUAUGGAUUGUAAACUGCUUUUAUACGAGAAGAAACACUCCUUCGUGAAGGAGCUUGACGGUAUCGUAAGAAUAAGGAUCGGCUAACUCCGUGCCAGCAGCCGCGGUAAUACGGAGGAUCCAAGCGUUAUCCGGAAUCAUUGGGUUUAAAGGGUCCGUAGGCGGUUUAGUAAGUCAGUGGUGAAAGCCCAUCGCUCAACGGUGGAACGGCCAUUGAUACUGCUAGACUUGAAUUAUUAGGAAGUAACUAGAAUAUGUAGUGUAGCGGUGAAAUGCUUAGAGAUUACAUGGAAUACCAAUUGCGAAGGCAGGUUACUACUGAUAUAUUGACGCUGAUGGACGAAAGCGUGGGUAGCGAACAGGAUUAGAUACCCUGGUAGUCCACGCCGUAAACGAUGGAUACUAGCUGUUGGGAGCAAUCUCAGUGGCUAAGCGAAAGUGAUAAGUAU